UACGAAGGGGGCUAGCGUUGCUCGGAAUCACUGGGCGUAAAGGGUGCGUAGGCGGGUCUUUUAAGUCAGGGGUGAAAUCCUGGAGCUCAACUCCAGAACUGCCUUUGAUACUGAAGAUCUUGAGUUCGGGAGAGGUGAGUGGAACUGCGAGUGUAGAGGUGAAAUUCGUAGAUAUUCGCAAGAACACCAGUGGCGAAGGCGGCUCACUGGCCCGAUACUGACGCUGAGGCUACGAAAGCGUGGGGAGCAAACAGG
rnacentral:rRNA from 1 species